rnacentral:rRNA from 1 species
GAUAAACGCUGGCGGCGUGCAUAACACAUGCAAGUCGAACGAAGUGGCAAAGGGGUGAGUAACACUUGGGUAACCUGCCUUACACAAGGGGAUACCCUUUGGAAACAAAGAAUAAUACCCUAUAGUGUAAGAUGGACUGGCGUCUGAUUCGAUAGUUGGUGAGAUAAAGGCCCACCAAGGAACCGAUCAGUAGCCGGCUUGAGAGAGGGUACGGCCACAUUGGGACUGAGACACGGACCAAACUCUACGGGAGGCAGCAGUGGGGAAUUUUGCACAAUGGGGGAAACCCUGAUGCAGCGACGCCGCGUGAUUUAGAAGGCCUUCGGGUUGUAAAAAUCUUUUUUAUGGGAUGCAGUACCAUAAGAAUAAGGUCCGGCUAAAUACGUGCCAGCAGCCGCGGUAAUAC